rnacentral:rRNA from 1 species
GACGAACGCUGGCGGCGUGCUUAACACAUGCAAGUCGAACGGUAAGGCCCUUCGGGGUACACGAGUGGCGAACGGGUGAGUAACACGUGGGUGAUCUGCCCUGCACUUCGGGAUAAGCCUGGGAAACUGGGUCUAAUACCGGAUAGGACCACUGCCUGCAUGGGUGGUGGUGGAAAGCUUUUGCGGUGUGGGAUGGGCCCGCGGCCUAUCAGCUUGUUGGUGGGGUGAUGGCCUACCAAGGCGACGAAGGGUAGCCGGCCUGAGAGGGUGACCGGCGACACUGGGGCGGAGGUACGGCCCAGACUCCUACGGGAGGCAGCAGUGGGGAAUAAUGCACAAUGGGCGCAAGCCUGAUGCAGCGACGCCGCGUGAGGGAUGACGGCCUUCGGGUUGUAAACCUCUUUCAGCACCGACGAAGCGCAAGUGGCGGUAGGUGCAGAAGAAGGACCGGCCAACUACGUGCCAGCAGCCGCCGUAA